GCCUCCAAGGAGCGUUGCAGCCGGACUUGCGUCAGCAAGCCGGGUCAGGCUUGGAAGCACCAUCCCCAGCAACUGCGCUCACGUUUC
rnacentral:ncRNA from 2 species